AUGGCUGUCGUCAGCUCGUGUCGUGAGAUGUUGGGUUAAGUCCCGCAACGAGCGCAACCCUUGUCCUAUGUUGCCAGCGGGUAAUGCCGGGGACUCGUAGGAGACUGCCGGGGUCAACUCGGAGGAAGGUGGGGAUGACGUCAAGUCAUCAUGCCCCUUACGUCCAGGGCUGCACACAUGCUACAAUGGCCGGUACAAAGGGCUGCUAUUCCGCGAGGAUGAGCGAAUCCCAAAAAGCCGGUCUCAGUUCGGAUCGCAGUCUGCAACUCGACUGCGUGAAGUCGGAGUCGCUAGUAAUCCCGGAUCAGCAACGCCGGGGUGAAUACGUUCCCGGGCCUUGUACACACCGCCCGUCACACCACGAAAGUCGGUAACACCCGAAGCCGGUGGCCCAACUCGUAAGAGAGGGAGCCGUCGAAGGUGGGAUUGGUGAUUGGGGUGAAGUCGUAACAAGGUAGCCGUACCGGAAGGUGCGGCUGGAUCACCUCCUUUCUAAGGAGUUCCUGCUCAGACGAUUUCAGUCUGAGAACUCCCAGUUGAUCACUAGCUACUCGGCUCCUCGAGCUCCGGUCCCGGUGGUAGAUGUACUUCUCCCGGUUUCGGACCUCGACGGGUCGGGCAACCUCUGUUCCGUUUUCUAGGGGUGCCGCAGUGGCGCUCCUAGCGGAGCAUGAUGGCGAUGCCGGCCCUUGGGCCGGCCGCUCGCCCCUUGGGGCCAGUCGCCCCAUUCCGCCCCUUGAGAACUCCAUAGCGAGCACGAGCAUCUUUGUUCUCCAAGCUACAAAGAGCCAACGGUGGAUGCCUUGGCGCCUGAAGCCGAUGAAGGACGUGGGUGGCUGCGAAAAGCCACGGGGAGCUGCCGACCAAGCUUUGAUCCGUGGAUAUCCGAAUGGGGAAACCCGG
rnacentral:sRNA from 1 species